GCGGUUGUAGCUCAAACGGUAGAGCGCCCGCUUUGCAUGCGGGAGGUACCGGGAUCGAAACCCGGCAACUCCA